AGCAGCCGCGGUAAUUCCAGCUCCAAUAGCGUAUAUUAAAGUUGUUGCAGUUAAAAAGUUCGUAGUCGAAUUUCGGGGUUCCACCGUUGGUCGGGCUAUUGUCUGUACUGGUGUGUGGAAUUUCUACCUUCUGGGGAACUAUCAUGUUAUUAAUUUAGCGUGGUAGGAAACCAGGACCUUUACCUUGAAAAAAUUAGAGUGUUCAAAGCAGGCUUAUGUCUGAAUACAUUAGCAUGGAAUAAUAAAAUAGGACGGUGGUCCUGUUUUGUUGGUUUCUGAAUCACCGUAAUGAUUAAUAGGGAUAGUUGGGGGCAUUAGUAUUCAAUUGUCAGAGGUGAAAUUCUUGGAUUUAU
rnacentral:rRNA from 1 species